rnacentral:rRNA from 1 species
ACGGGAGGCAGCAGUAGGGAAUCUUCGGCAAUGGACGCAAGUCUGACCGAGCAACGCCGCGUGAGUGAAGAAGGUUUUCGGAUCGUAAAACUCUGUUGGUAGAGAAGAACGUUGGUGAGAGUGGAAAGCUCAUCAAGUGACGGUAACUACCCAGAAAGGGACGGCUAACUACGUGCCAGCAGACGCGGUAGUAAGUAGGUCCCGAGCGCUGUCCGGAUUUAUUGGGCGUAAAGCGAGAGCAGGUGGUUUAUUAAGUCUGGUGUAAAAGGCAGUGGCUCAACCAUUGUAUGCAUUGGAAACUGGUAAACUUGAGUGCAGGAGAGGAGAGUGGAAUUCCAUGUGUAGCGGUGAAAUGCGUAGAUAUAUGGAGGAACACCGGUGGCGAAAGCGGCUCUCUGGCCUGUAACUGACACUGAGGCUCGAAAGCGUGGGGAGCAAACAGGAUUAGAUACCCUGGUA